rnacentral:lncRNA from 1 species
UCAGAGCCCUUUGAAAAUUACCUAAAGAUUUUAAGACGUACCAUAGGAUGGUUACAGAGGACUUAACUGUAUUUAACAGUAUUAUAUGCAUAACUCUACUACAGAGGGAGAAAGUUAAAACACCUUAUUUGAUUGGUCACACUAGAGAUAAAGUGUUUCUGAAAGGAGGAUACAUAAAUGAUUUAGAAAUGCAUUGCUAUAGCAAGCAGCCUCACUUUUAUGCAAUUUCAGAAAUAGGGUGGGGAAAGAAAAUGCAGUCAUCCAUCAGUCACUUAAUCAUUAAGCCUUUUAUAUUGUACCUGGACAUUGGAUUCCAGAAAUGGCAAAUGUUUUGUGUAUUUGUUACAAGGAAUCUUAAUCUGAAAAAACAAGUUACAUUGAUUCAGUCCUAGUUAAAAAAGUAAAAAAAAA